UCAGACCCCUUUCCCUAUUUGACAGUAGUCUCUGACAAAUAAGUUGAAGUAUUGCCUCUUUCAUAAAGGACACGACCACAACACUGACAUCUACAUCCAACUAAAGGAUGUCAUCAAAGGAUUGAUCAAAAGAGACUAAUCAGUCUAUUACAUGAAAGCGGACAAAAGAGAAUGGGAGGAAUAACCCAAGGGCAAGUCUCCGUCUAAAUAUACCAAAGAAGGAAUUAGUGGCGAGAGUAAAGAGACCAACAAAGAUAAGUGCACAUAUAUCGCCACCAUCAUAGGAGGAGAAUCCU
rnacentral:lncRNA from 1 species